rnacentral:lncRNA from 10 species
AAUUUCAGAAGAACCAAAAGUCAGCUUUUCAGAAUUAAGACCUUCUAGCUGGGAUAACCACGUGGCUGGCUAUUUGAGAUAUGAAGAAAAGUUAAUGUGUAUAAGGCUGUGUACCCAAGAAAACAGAUCUCCACCACAAGAUUUCAAUCAUCUGGAGCUCAGGUCAUGAUAUCUUUUAUGUUGAUGUAAAGCACCCGGCUGAACUUCUUUUCUUUUUUUCCUUUCUCCCAGUUCCUUUCCCUCUUUCUUUCUGCUUUAUCUCUCUCACUCCUUACCUUACACAUAUUUUCUGGGUUUGGGGAGUUAGGAGUGUUAUUAUUAUUAUUAUUUGAGAUGGAGUCUUGCCCUGUCGCCCAGGCUGGAGUACAAUGGCGUGAUCUCGGCUCACUGCAACCUCCGCCUCCAGGUUCAAGCUAUUCUCCUGCCUCAGCCUCCUGAGUAGCUGGGAUUACAGGCGUGCACCACCACACCCGGGUAAUUUUUUGUAUCUUUAGUAGAGACAAGGUUUCACCACGUUGGCCAGGCUGGUCUCGAGCUCCUGACCUCGUGAUCCCCCCGCCUCGGCCUCCCAAAGUGCUGGGAUUACAGGCGUUUGAGUCACCGUGCCUGGCCGGGAGUAUUACUUUAGACAGAAAAAAAUGCCCUUCUUUUGGGAUUCAAGUGAUAUAAGAUAAUAGUGCAAAAUGUAAGAGGAAUUUAUCAUAUAUUUUUUAUGUCUUUCACUAAACUCUAUGGCAAAAUUUCAAACCAAUUACUAAUCCACAUAUUUAUUGGCCAUAGAUAAUAUUGAGUGAUUAUAAAACUCUAAUAAAAAGAUAAGUAUUAGAAAAAUAACACUAUAUGCAUAGAUAUGUGGUUUAUAUGAGAGAAAACAUAUCUACCUUUGUCAACUCAAGGAUGUAACUGAUUUGACAUGCUAAGCAAUAUGGAGUCUUUAUUCAAUUCCUAUAGGUGGGCUCACACACAUAAAUAUGUAAUGAGUAGCAGUCAGAUAAUAAUUUGAUCCAAACUGUAAGUUCUAUAAAGGCAGAGCUCAUAUUUUCUGGUUUAAUACAAUACCUCCAGUACCUACCACCGUCUCUAAUACAUAGCAUGUGCUAAUGUUGAAUAAUUACUAAUUAAAAGAUGUAAGUGUGACAUUAUUAUCUCAUUUUCAUGAUGUACACAGACAUAGAUUGAUCAUUAAUAUUCUAGAAAUGACACCCAAGUUAUUUCAACAGGAAAAGUCAACCACAAACUAGAGUAAUACCUGCUUCAAAGAGUUUCAAUAAUCUCAAUUUCAUUUUCAGGUGUCAGAGUAACAUAAGGGAUGAGAUAAUUCAGAUCCGUUGAUUGAGGUUUCCUUUUAUAUUACAAGAGUUUGCCAUACUACUACAAUGAUGAAACUACUUCAUUUUCAUAAUUUAAGUUUUUCACUUAAAAACUCCUAAAUUAUAAGACCAUAGUUCAAGAUGUAACUCAACUGCAUUGAAAGUACAUGAUGAAGAGAUUCAGGAAUGAUGAUCAUCUUGAGAACAGAGACAUCUUAACUGUCCAACAGGUUUUGGAAGGUAUUAUUUCAAAAAUGGAUUUUUUUAAAGUUGUUAUAACUGUACAAAAGAGAAAGGAAAAUUGAAGCAGUAGCUAUCAACGGAGGCAACUCUCACUCCUGCAACCCAAGUAGGAGGUGCUAAUCAGAGAAAUAAAGUAUGACUGUGGAGAUGGAACGAGAAGUGGCAAUAAGGUCCCCUAACAAUGGACAAGUAUGGAAUAAAGUGAAUGCAGAUGGUUCCACUCCUGUUACUUAAUCAAAAGGCUGUGCAGAGUCACUGAAGCCAGCAUAAAGUCAUGUGUUAGAACAACAGCUGAUCUGUAUUAGAGAAGAUUAACUCACAGUGCCAUGGUGGAAGGCCUAGGAUUAUUUUAUGUACUUCCAUUGCCUUACAAGCCGUCAGCGCAAUUAUUGCCCUCCGAUGUGAAUGACUGAUCUGUAACCACAGCUAAACAGCACGCUGCUUAGGGGCCUAGGAGCUUCAUGAAGAUGAAUUUCCAUACCAUCAAAGUACUUUUAAUGGGCUCCCUGAUCCAACCACAAGGCCUGCUUUGCAAGUAUAUAGAACUCAGGAUGAAGGCUUCCUGUCCAAAAGGAUUUGGUCGGUUGUCACUUGACAAUUCCCAGCCAGCACUGGGGAAGAGAAGGGGGAGAUAGGUAGAGUUGUCUCUGCUUUGGAGGAUUAAAAAAAAAAAAAAAAAGGGUACAGAUGCUUGCUGAAUGCAACCAACUGCUGUAUCCACAGCUGAAUUCAAUGCGCUUAACAAAUAACGGCAAUUUAGCUAUGCUUGCGAGGAAUAGCUUGAGUCACUUUGCAUUAGCAUCUGGCUGAGUGUUAAACUCAUUUCUACGUGGGGAGCAGAGAAAAGGAAUUUCUGUUCAAGCAUCCUUUCAAGAAUGUUUAAAUAUUUGAAUAUAAAUUCCUUUAUGCUUGCUAUCAUUCCUUCUUAGAACUGUCACUUUGCUUUCCCCCUUCCUUUUGGUGCUUAGCUAUAAAAAUGUGCCCUUCUCAGGACACCAAUGUCAUACGUCUUAUGUUGUAACACUGCAAGGGAUGUAUACUGAGCUAUCCUUUGCUCUCUCCCCUGGACACACGAUAGAAUUGAAAUCGUUUCUCCAUCCUUAAUUUUUAUCAUAUUAGGACCAGGGAAAGAGCAGUUGUGGCAGGAUCACCCAUACAUUUCACCUUCCCUAUGCAGAUUGCCAGCUUCUUAGUGAUUAUACAUCAAACUCCACAUAAAACCUUGGAAACUAGAAAGCUAUCCAAAUUAGCAAUCUGCUCAUUCUGGACAAGUCUGUUUGACUCAUAAGCUUCCCAUUAUGAUUAACUUUCCAGUUAUUGCUAAGUAGCUGAUCAUUUUUUCUCUUAUCUACUGGAUCAAUUUAUCUAGAGGAUUCUGUAAAGCGCACUGGGUAACAUUUUAAAAUUUCAGUUCAAAACAUAUCAACUAUUCCAACAGUACAUAAUUCUGAGGAUUUUACAACUUAUAAUAUUUUUCUAAAUAAAACACCAUGUAGGCUUAGACAAAAGGGCUUGAAAUCAUUGUCUCUCAGACAAAUUCAGAAGUUUCACUGGCCUUAGUUAUAAUACAAAUAACGUCAAAGUUUUUAAUAAGUACAUUUUGUUUUAUGAUAAAGUAAAAAUUUCCAGUUGUGAACUCAUCUAACACUUGACAGUGUUUUGCACUGGAAACAUAUUAUGACAAGCUCAGGAUCCUAAAUACUUAGAAUAUGAGCAUGGAUAUCAUCCAAGCUUAUGCUGAUUAAAGAAGAUUCAGCAUUUCAAAUCCAGCUCAUCCCCAAAUACAAGUUAAGCAUCUCUGAAAAGCAAAACUUUUAGUCAGACUCAGAUAUUUCAAAUGCCAUUUUGUUUUAAUACAAGCUGGUGGCGUAAAAGGGGAUAUUCAUUGUCAAUAAGGUUUGGAGAUGGAUCAAGAGAAUUAUAACUCUUUCUAUUUCCAGAUGGUUUUGAUUAGGAUGGCGAUGAGGCCUUCUAUAUUAAUGGAGGGAGAAAAGGGACAGAGAAUCAUUUUGAGGAUGAUAAGAAGAUGGAAAUAUAUUUUUUUUAAAAAAGCAUUAGGCAAUUUAAUUAAGUAUUUCUAGAAAGUAAGUUAUUUUAUGAACUGACCUUUUCUGUUCGGCAGUUAUUGAGACCCAGACUAUUCACAACAGCCACCUUCCCAUCAAGCACCUGUUGUUCCCGUCGGAGUUGCUCCUUCAUUUGCCGAGCUUCUUGGAUUGCCUUGGUGACAGCAUCAUGGUCAUUUAAGUAACCUGAACAUGAGACAGAUCAAAGGAUAUCUUUUGUAUAAAAGCAUGUCUAGGCUAGCGUUUAACCAUAAAAAUCACUUUUCUUGGUAAUAGGUAGUGUCUGGCCUAUAAUGAUUUCUCCAUGGAAUUUAUCUAAAAUGAAUGAAUGAAUAAUUGACAAUGACUGAUCCAUAUAGUCAUACAUAAACAUGUUUCCAAUAUGUUCAAAUAUCUGUAAUAAAAAUAUAAUACCUAAGUGACAUAUGGUUGUUUCCAACUAUUUUGAAAGAAGUUGAAAACCUAAUUUUUAAGUAAAUGCUUUAGUUAUUAUUCGAAUAUUAUUUUGUAGUGCAAAUAUAAAACCCAUUUUUAAUUUUUUUUCCUGCAAGGAACAUUUGAAUUUUAGCACAGAAUUUAGGUAUUCAUAAUUAUGACUAUGAUUAUUGAGUCUCUCCUAGUAUUAGAAAGGCCACAUAAGAGGGUCUGUAUAGCACUAUUAAGUUUGUUAUAUACAGAAGAAAUAAAUCAUUAUUUGACGGAAGAGUAUUUUCUUCCUAAAAAUCCAUUUAUGGUGAAAUAAACCACAGGUGGCAGUGGUUUGCUAUUGAUGCAAACUUGUAAUAGUUAGGCUAAAUUUCAAGCACAGAAUGUAACCAAGCACCUGUAAUUGUUUGAUAAGAAAUUGUGGCUACUCUUGACUAUAGUCACACUUAAUUCACACUCUUAAUAAGAUGGCCAAAUGAUCAGCUUAUGUAUGCAACUCCACAGUCCAUGGUUAGUAAUACACACUACCAAAAUAUUGCUGUUACAAAAUAACAGGUGUAACAACCAAAACUAAUUUUUACUUAAUUUUAUUUUUAACACUGGUCAUUUAUUUAUUUGAUGCAUAUUAGUACGAUGAUCUGCAUGACAUUAGACGUACGUUAGUACUGAGGGAAAAAGAUUGUUUUGCAAAUAUUUAAAGAAAAGCUAAUAUCUCAUCUUUCUCUCUCCCUAUCUUUUAACUAGGGCAUAAAAUGGCAUAAAAUGAAUCUGUAAUACGAAACUGCCCAGAAAAGGGACUUGUUUGUGACACGAGGCUAAAUCUAACCAGAUCCAUUGGUGAAUUGUGACAGAUGGAGGGACUGUGAGACAGAAGGCAGGCACUAAUCACACAUAAAAUGACCGGCUUGCCUCAACAUGUUCCAUGGAUUCCAGCAAACUUUACACCCUAAUCCAUUUUUAGAACAAAAAACAUCUGGGCCAUAAAUCCUCUAAUCUGCCAAAACACGCUAUUAAAUCCCAUGAUUUGUUGAAAAACACUAAGAUUAAAGAAAGGAAAUAUAAAAUGGCUAACUGCCGUGUUAGGAAAGUGUUAUUAAUACUCUUUGUCUCAAUUAUGAAUGUUCUGGUACUAAGAGCCUUGUCUAAUCAUGUCAGAUUACACAUCCUUGUUGUAUUGCUAGACUCUUCUAUCUGAUCUGCUGAUUGCCAAAAAACAUAGAAUAUGUUCUUGCUGCUUAAACGUUUCUAUUGAAGAAACCGAUGUCAGAAACUGAUGUAGUACUUCAGUGCUGGCAGGUUUCUAAAUGAUCCAUGCCUCUUCCCCUGUUAGUAUGCGCAGAGUAGACCUGGUCCUCUGAUCUCCUUGAGGCAGAAAGAAAAGUUCCAGUGUAGGCGAUAGAAAAGGGAAGCUUGAGAGUGAUUAUAUAUUUUGCCUUUCAGAGCUAAAUUCAUUGGAACUUAUUCAAAGAACAAAACAUCUCUGCUCAUUAUAAACACAAUAGUGAAUUGAAAACAACUCUAAACCUAGAACAGAUCUUCAGAGUUAAUAUUUACUGUAAAAGAUGGUUGUAUUUUAUUAUCCUCAACAUCCUAAUUUGGAUCUCCUGUACAUCAUUCUUAAUGUAUAAUUCUUGAACUUGUUCAUGAACAAUAUUACUCUAGAUAGAAAUACAACUCUUACAUGACCGUGAUGGUCUUGGUAUAUGUUCAUUUAGUAAUAUCUUAAGAGGAUCAGUCUGAUUUUCUUAUGCUCUAACCCCUGUUUAUACACAACCUGGCAUCAUACAUUUUUGUAGUCUAUUUAGCUUCUAUGUAGUCUAAUUAGCUUCUCCAGAACACAAAUAUAUUUGAAAUGGCUUGGCACAUGGCACUGAAUAAAAGCAUGAAUUCUUUAUGCUUUUUAGGGACUGCCAAGAUAACAUUGUGUAGGAAAAAUGAUUAAUAUAGAUGCAAGAGGAAUGUAAAUUAUUAUGAGGGGGAGUAACUGACAGACCUAUGUUCUGUAAUGGUUAUUUCCAAUUUGAGAUGUGUGUUUCUGUGCAGGUAGAAAUAACUGUUCACUUUAAAAUAAACAUUCUUGCUUUUAGAGACUCUUGAGUUUUAGUUAUAAUGCUGUAUGAAAUGUUAACAUUUGUAUCUGCUAUGUUAAAUCAUAAAGCCAUGUAUAUAUGACAACAUUCAAUCUUAAUAUGAUUGUUUGCUGGUUCUUUACAGUUUGUUCUCCUCAUAGUCACCAAAUCCUUAACCCUGCUGACUCCGUCUCCCUCAGCAAAUGGCUUUGCCUCUGAUUUUGCAAAGAGCAGCAAGGCUGAACUCUCACCUUCCUGACCCUACCCUCACUCUUACCUUCUGCUGGCUUAAUUUAUUUCCAUUUAUGCCUAUUUUGCUCCUCCUGUUUCAAUAAAAAUGGUUCCUUGCUUUCAAUCAAGGCAAAUCUCCUAAUAAGAGUUCUAGAUUUCUAUACGUCUUCAUUGAUAAUUCUAUUUCUCAUUUAUAUCAUCUAUCUAAUUGUCUCCACCAUCUCUACCACCUCAACUUGUAGAUACUUAAGGUUCUCUUUUCUCCGAAAACAAGCAAAUAAAGUGUCUUCUUUAACCUUGUUUUGCCCUCUCUUUCCAACACUGUUUCUCUUUUUAUCUUUGAAGUCAAGCUUCUCAAAGAUACAUUAUCUCAUAAUCUCCCAUUCCCUCCUUACUCUCCAGUUCUCAGUGCAAUCUUGUUUCUGUUGCAAUUGGUCUCUAGUUGUCGAAUAAAUCCAAAGGACAUUUUCCAUUUCUUGAGAGGGAAUGACAGCAUUGACCAUCCUCUCUUUAUUGAAUCUCAUUUUAGCAUUGUUCCUUUUUCCUCACUGCCUCCUCUGUGUUGGUAUCCCUGCCUGGGAUCCUUCCUUCACCUAAUCCUUAGAUUUUGAUUCAAGAUGCCAAUUAUUAAAAAAGGAUGUGUUUUGGAGCUGGGCAAGCCCGAAUUAAAAUCCUAGCUUUGACACUUACUAGGUAUAUAAAUUACACAAGUUGUUUUACUGUUCUAAGUUGCAAUUGUCUCUUCGGUUAAAUAGGGAUAACACUCACUAGAUAACAGAAAUGUCAAGAUUAAGUGAGUAAAUAUCAUCUUUUAUCAUAAUAAAUGGUCAAUGAAAGCUAUUCAGUAACUGUCACUUUAUAAAAUGGCAUAGUAAAAUAAGCAGAAUUUGGAAAUUGGAUUCAACUGCAUCUGGGAUUUCCAGUUCUUGGUAAGUGUGAUAUUUGACAAAUUUUAAUGCUCAAUCUAAGUUUUCACUUCCCUUAACUACAAAAUGAAGGUAAAGCUGAUGGAAGAAUUAGAUGAAAUAACACAUGUGAAGGAAGAGAUAGCACUUGGUAUCUGCAGAGGCAGGAAAAGAUGUUAGACUCCUUUCUUUACUCUUUACACUUUCAUUUUCCCUAUAUGUUCACUCUUAGCACUCUUAUUAACAUGGCUUUGACUAUCAUGAUGAAAUCUGUGAGGGGAUGUCAUUCCUUGGCGGGCACAGAGGUUCAGUUAAAUGGGCGUCAGACCAUAAAGGCCAAAGAGACAUAUAAUGGUUAUCUGAUAGAUACAUUUUAUUCUGCCUUCAUUAUAGAUUCAAGCAACAAUUGCAUCUAAAGUCAGGAUCAGAUGGGAGGGCAUGUGUAUAGGAGAGGUUUGGUGAACCUCAGUCUUAAGAGGAAAAUGAGAUGGC